AUUUUUGUAGAGGCUGGGUCUCUCUCCAUGUUGCCUAGGCUGGUCUCGAACUCCUGGGCUCAAGCAGUCUGCCUCUCUCGGCCUCCCAAUGUGUUGGGAUUGCAGGUGUGAGCCACUGUGCUCAGUCUGACAGUAGAGUCUUGAGAAAUCUCUACAUCUUUUGAGAAUGUUCAGAGGAGGAGAUCCUAGCAGAAGUGGCCAGAAAGGUAGGAGAAAUGUAGGCACAUGUCACGUCAUGGAAGCCAGGAAAGUGUUUCAAGAAGAAAAAAGUGGUCAGUGGUGUCCUGUGCCAUUGAGAGGUCUAGGAAGAAUUCUAGGAAGAAUCGAUGUUGGCACAGGAAAGUUGGAUAUGCUGACUAUGGCAGCAGGUGCCCUGGUGAGGGAGAGGCCAGCCUAGAAGGGCUUAAGAGGAGAGAGAGGCGAGGAAGUGGAGAAGAUUCAGUUGAAGUCAAGCUCACUGUUCUCUUUUCCCUUUUACAGUACUUUCAACCCUCUGGCUUAGUAAGUUGUGGUUUUUCUGACCUUUUUAAAGUUUGAGAGGACAUUUUAUUUAUAUUAACCAAUUUAUUUGAAUUUCAGUCUCAGAAGUAUUAAAUAUUAGUUCAUAAGAUUGUUAAUCUGCUGGGUCAGGCAAAUACAGAAGAGUUUUUCACUUUAUUCUUGAUUAUUUUACUUAUGAUCAUUUCCAAUUUAGUUGGGGUAAUAACCUGAUCAGUUAUAUACAUUGCACUCAUUCAUUCUUCAGCAAACAUGUACUGAAUACCUGCCCCUAGUAUGUUCUUGGCCCAGACUAGGCCCUAGCAACCCAAGUGAACUGCCUGUCUGGCUGCCUUAAUGGGGGCUCCCAAUCUAGUGGGGAGCAAAUGAAAUGAUCAGUGCGAUCAUUUACUGCACUAGCAGCUGUUCUGCCAAGAGUGUGCAGAAUCACUCUUUAUUAACCUAGAAAUGACCUGAGAGAGCAUGUAGUCGAGUUCUGGUCAUUUUGUAAGUAAAGCAUAUGGCCACAGAGGUGAAGGACACAUAGAGGCUAAGGUCACAGCUAGUUUUAUUUAUUUAUAUAUUUAUUUAUUUGGGACAUAGUCUCACUCUUUCACCCAGGCUGGAGUGCAGUGGCACGAUGUAGGCUCACUCCAACCUCUGUCUUGCAGAUUCAAGCGAUUCUUAUGCCUCACCUUCCUGAGUAGCUGGGACUACAGGCACGCACCACAACACCCACCUAAUUUUUGUAGUUUUAAUAGAGACAGGGUUUUGCCAUGUUGGCCAGGCUGAUCUCAAACUCCUGGCCUCAAGCAAUUCACCCACCUUGGUCUCCCAAAGUGCUGGGAUUACAGGCGUGAGCCACCGUGCCUGGCCCAGCUAGUUUUAGUGAUAGAGCCAAGAUUCAGACUCCGGGUUGUAGGAUUCCAAAGCCCGAGGCUGAUACUCAGCUGCCUUGCUUUAUUGCUUCCUUAGUAACAAAAUUGACCAAAUCGGGACUUGGAAACAGGAGCUGAUGUGCCAGCAUACAUUUUGAGCUAAUUUUCACAUUCAUCAGCUUUUGAAAAUAUUUACAGGUUGGCUUGCUUUGCUGCCUGACUGUGAAGGAUGGGAAAGUAUUUAGUGCUCCUUAUAGGCUGUGUGGAAAUUUUCUUCUGGAGAGAGUUUGGUUGGGAUAAUGAUUGAGCUCUAAACUGGGAAUAAAGUCAUCUGGGUUUUCCUUUCACCUGUUUUGUGAUCAUAGGCGUAGAAUUACCUUAUUAAUUAGUGUUGAUUAUUGUGUAAUAUUUGAGUUAUAGGGUAUUUUUUAGCACAUCAUCACAGCAGAAUUUUCCACCUGGAGUGCGUUCACGAGGACUUCGGGGUAUUAUGAAGCGCUCUAAUAGGCGCCUCUCUUUAGAUAGUGGAGGAAUUGAAACUGUAUUUGGGAAGUAUGUCCUGCGUUGGAAAACAGCAUAUACUUUUUUUCUUUUUAACAAUUGAAGUCGUUGCUUUUUGGGAAUCCAAAAAAAAAAAAAAUUAACAACGAAGGGUUCUAGUUCUGACAAAGCUAAAUAUUUCUUGAUAUGCUGAUGGGAUUAUAUAUGAUUGGCCCUUUUCAAAAAAGUAUUUUAACCUUGAGGGAUUUUUCAAGGCUCAGAAUUCUUAAGCUUUCUGUUGUUAUCAUUAUGUGAAAACUGAAGAGUAGGAAAGUGGUUUGUCUGUUCAUGACUUACAGGCUCCAGAACCUUAAUUAGCUUGUUUUUUUUAAGUUUAAAAUUUUAAAACAUACAUGGUUCAUUGUAAAAUAUCAUCCAGUUAGCCACUAUCCUACCACCUCAGGACAUCUCUGCUGACAUUUUGGUGUAUUUCCUUCCAGUAUUUGAAUACGAUAUUGGAUGUUGAGAUAAGCUUGUUUGUACUUUCUGUACAACUUUAUAUCCUGUUCAUUUAAUGUUGCAUCAUGAGCAUUUCCUGGAGGAGGUGAUUUUCUCAGAGGAGCAGCAAGGCAUUUUUUAGAAAUAGAUGUGUAUUUUUUAUUUAAAUGGAAAAUUCUUCCCGCUAUAUAUGUAUUUUUUUAGCCAACAGAAGAUAGUGGUGCUAAAUGGUAACAUGGAACAAAUAUGGGGUAAAUAUUACCAUGUUGCUACCUGAUCAGCAAUAUAUAUGAUGUCAGAGCUGACCCAUCUCUGCAGUAUUAAACUCCUUUCUCACAUUUAAAAUUUGUACUUAAUUUUGUUAAGUACCGUGGCUCAUGCCUGUAAUCCCAACACUUUGGGAGGCCAAGGCGGGUGGAUCACCUGAGGUCGGGCGUUCAAGACCAGCCUGACAAACAUGGAGAAACUCCAUCUCUACUAAAAAUACAAAAUUAGCCAGGCGUGGUGUUACAUGCCUGUAAUCCCAGGUGCUCAGGAGGCUGAGGCAGGAGAAUCGCUUGAACCAGGGAGGCGGAGGUUUCAGUGAGCUGAGAUCGUGCCAUUGCACUCCAGCCUGGGCAACAAGAGCAAAACUCCAUCUCAAAAAAAUAAAAUAAAAUAAAUACUAAACAUAUGGCUAAAACUUUUUUCUCUGUUUCUCCACGAUGAAGCAUUUUAGUAAGGUCCUUUUUUUGUGACUUCUGUAGUAGGAGAAUUACUAAACUGCGUUGUACAUUUUGUGUUAACAUUUGAUAGGACUACGGAAAUACUCCUAGAACACUUGGAUCAUUAAGAUUAUUAGCCUUGGGCCAGGCACGGUGGCUCACACCUUUAAUCCCAGCACUUUGGGAGGCCGAGGCAGGUGGAUCACAAGGUCAGGAGAUCGAGACCAUCCUGGCUAACAGGGUGAAACCCCGUCUCUACUAAAAAUACAAAAAAUUAGCUGGGCGUGGUGGCGGGUGUCUGUAGUCCCAGCUACUCGGGAGGCUGAGGCAGGAAAAGACUUCAUCUCAAAAAAAAAAAAAAAUUAUUAGCCUUAAAUUAUUUUGGUGAUAAGGCCAACACAAAAACUUGAUAUAAAGAGGAAUUUAUUAAUUUGUGAGCAGCAACAAGAAAAAGGCAAUUUCUAGAAUAAUGUAAUAAGUUCUUUCCAAAAAAGCUCUUAUUUCAUGUGCAGUAGUUUAUUUUUGUAGCUUAUAUGCUAGAAAACAUUGAAAUAACUUAUCUAAGUGAGAUAAAGGUAGUAUUCUACUUAUGCUAUUAUAGACUGUCUUACAUUGGUCUGGAAAGAUACUUAGUUUGAAAAAGAAAUUUUCAAAUAUUGAAAUGGUUUAUG
rnacentral:lncRNA from 1 species